rnacentral:lncRNA from 1 species
UAGUGCAUGAGCAAUUGUAUUACAGUCUCUAGAGAUAUGCUGAAUUUUUGCCCUGCUGUUAAGUGAGUUCAUCUUUUUUUGAAUUUCAGCUAUAUUCCAGAAUAUUUUCGUUCUGCUGCUCUGCUUAUGGAAGACAAAAUCAAAGACUUCUUUGCAAUCCGUCUCGACAAUUAGAGGUAGCAAAUCAGCUUCUAUUGCAGUCUGGAUCCCAAAGUUCACUGCAGCUGCUUCAGCUUGAGCUACAUUCCCGUAGAAGGGUGUUCGGUUUACAGCUGCAGCUAUCACUUUUCCAUUGCUAUCUCUGAUCACCACUCCUAGACCUGCUUCCCUUUUCUCUUCAUUU